rnacentral:rRNA from 1 species
AUACGUAGGUGGCAAGCGUUGUCCGGAUUUAUUGGGCGUAAAGCGUGCGCAGGCGGUGAGAUAAGUCAGCUGUGAAAGCCCCGGGCUCAACCUGGGAACUGCGGCCGAAACUGUCUCGCUAGAGUACGUCAGAGGGGGGUGGAAUUCCACGUGUAGCAGUGAAAUGCGUAGAGGUGUGGAGGAACACCAAUGGCGAAGGCAGCCCCCUGGGAUGAUACUGACGCUCAUGCACGAAAGCGUGGGGAGCAAACAGGAUUAGAUACCCUGGUAGUCCACGCCCUAAACGAUGUCGACUAGCCGUUGGAGACCUCGGUCUUUGGUGGCGCAGCUAACGCGUGAAGUCGACCGCCUGGGGAGUACGGUCGCAAGAUUAAA